GCCUAACAAUGCAGUCGACGGUAGCACAGAGAGCUUGCUCUCGGGUGACGAGUGGCGGACGGGUGAGUAAUGUCUGGGAAACUGCCUGAUGGAGGGGGAUAACUACUGGAAACGGUAGCUAAUACCGCAUAACGUCGCAAGACCAAAGAGGGGGACCUUCGGGCCUCUUGCCAUCAGAUGUGCCCAGAUGGGAUUAGCUAGUAGGUGGGGUAACGGCUCACCUAGGCGACGAUCCCUAGCUGGUCUGAGAGGAUGACCAGCCACACUGGAACUGAGACACGGUCCAGACUCCUACGGGAGGCAGCAGUGGGGAAUAUUGCACAAUGGGCGCAAGCCUGAUGCAGCCAUGCCGCGUGUAUGAAGAAGGCCUUCGGGUUGUAAAGUACUUUCAGCGGGGAGGAAGGUGUUGUGGUUAAUAACCGCAGCAAUUGACGUUACCCGCAGAAGAAGCACCGGCUAACUCCGUGCCAGCAGCCGCGGUAAUACGGAGGGUGCAAGCGUUAAUCGGAUUACUGGGCGUAAAGCGCACGCAGGCGGUCUG
rnacentral:rRNA from 1 species